GACGAACGCUGGCGGCGUGCUUAACACAUGCAAGUCGAACGGAAAGGCCCUGCUUUUGUGGGGUGCUCGAGUGGCGAACGGGUGAGUAACACGUGAGUAACCUGCCCUUGACUUUGGGAUAACUUCAGGAAACUGGGGCUAAUACCGGAUAGGAGCUCCUGCUGCAUGUUGGGGGUUGGAAAGUUUCGGCGGUUGGGGAUGGACUCGCGGCUUAUCAGCUUGUUGGUGGGGUAGUGGCUUACCAAGGCUUUGACGGGUAGCCGGCCUGAGAGGGUGACCGGCCACAUUGGGACUGAGAGACGGCCCAGACUCCUAAGGGAGGCAGCAGUGGGGAAUAUUGCACAAUGGGCGGAAGCCUGAUGCAGAAACGCCGCGUGCGGGAUGACGGCCUUCGGGUUGUAAACCGCUUUCGCCUGUGACGAAGCGUGAGUGACGGUAAUGGGUAAAGAAGCACCGGCUAACUACGUG
rnacentral:rRNA from 1 species